rfam:Otolemur garnettii contig185030, whole genome shotgun sequence.
GCUAGGUGCAGUAGCACAUACCGGUAGUCUCAGCUACUCUGGAGGCUGAGGCAGGAAGAUUGCUUAAAUCUAGGACUUUUGGGCAAUAGAGCACUAUAUUGAUCUGGUGUCCACACAAAAUUAAGCAUCAAUAUGGUGAUCUGGGGGCAUUUCCAGGUUGUCAAAGGAGGGGUGAACUAGCCCAGGUCAGAAAUGGAGCAUGUUGAAACUACUGAUCCUGUGCUUAUCAGUAGUGGGAUUGUUCCUGUGUAUAGCCACUGAACUCCAACCUGUGCAACGUAAUGAGACCCUGUCCCUU